UCUCUCUCUCUCUCUCUCUCUCUCUCUCGUAUCACAGACCUGUAUAGCUCUGCUCUCUCGCUCGCUCUUUCACUCACCAUUGUCGUCUGAGAUAUCCAGCGAGAGUGCUCUGGAUGAGAGAAGUCAUCGGAGGGCAGCACUUGAAGCAUCUCUUCAUGAGGUUUUAUUUUAGAUAGUAAAAUUUGUGAAUGGGAAAAAAGAUCACAUUCCACCCAUACCGAAUCUUGAAGGUGUCUCCUUUCCCUAUGAAAUUACUGUCUCAAGGAUGAAAAUCGAACAGCUUGGAUUUAGCCCACAUACAUAGCAUUCAACUUUUCUAGGAACCUAAGAAGAAGAUUUAAGGUGCAAGCUUGGAUUUGAGGAACAUGUAUCUCCAUGGUAACAAAUUGGAACUCGACUGGUACCUUGUACAGUAGUGAACACCAGCAUUGUAAAUUUUGACUUUACUAGCAUUUUAUCUAGAUUGUAUAU